rnacentral:rRNA from 1 species
GACAGAGGCCUCGAGCGUUAGGCGGAAUCACUGGGCUUAAAGCGUGUGUAGGCGGGCCCGUAAGUGUCUUGUGAAAUCCCACGGCUCAACCGUGGAACUGCUGGGCAUACUGCGGGUCUUGGGCCAACUAGGGGCAGCCGGAACAAGCGGUGGAGCGGUGAAAUGCGUAGAUAUCGGAAGGAACAUCAGUGGCGAAAGCGACUUCCUGGACCAAUACUGACGCUCAUGUGCGAAAGCGUGGGGAGCAAACAGG